rnacentral:SRP_RNA from 1 species
UCCGGGAGCAGCGGUGCAUGACUGUAGUCCCAGCUACUUGGGAGGCUGAGGUAGGAGGAUCGCUUGAGCCCAGGAGUUCUGGGCUGUAAUGCCCUAUGCCGAUGGGAUGUCCACACAUAAGUUCGGCAUCAAUAUGGUGACCUCCUGGGAGUGGGGGACCACCAGGAUGCCUAAGGAGGGGCGAACCGGCCCAGGUUGGAAACGGAGCAGGUCAAAACUCCCAUGCUGAUCAGUAGUGGGAUCCAGCCUGUGAAUAGCCACUGCACUCCAGCCUGGGCAACAUAGCAAGACCCCGUCUCUA